AGGGCAUACGGUGGAUGCCUAGGCGCCAAGAGCCGAAGAAGGACGCGGUAAGCUGCGAAAAGCCACGGGGAACUGCAAGCAAGUAUUGAUCCGUGGAUAUCCGAAUGGGGAAACCCGGCCAUCGUCAUGGAUGGUCACCCGCAAGGGAGGGAACCUGGGGAACUGAAACAUCUAAGUACCCGGAGGAAGAGAAAUCAAACGAGAUGCCCACAGUAGCGGCGAGCGAAGAGGGCAGAGCCCAAACCGAGAAGCUCCGGCUUUUCGGGGUUGAGGACCGGCAGAAUCGAAGUCAGGCCUAGUCGAAUUACCUGGAAAGGUAAGCGAGAGAGGGUAAAAGCCCCGUAGACGAAAGGCAGAGCAGAGAGGCCGAGAUCCAGAGUACCACGAAGCACGAGGAAUUUUGUGGGAAGCAGGGGGGACCACCCUCCAAGGCUAAAAACUACUUGGCGACCGAUAGCGCAUAGUACCGUGAGGGAAAGGUGAAAAGAACCCCGGGAGGGGAGUGAAAUAGUACCUGAAACCUUGUGCUUACAAGCAGUUACAGCCCGUUAAAGGGUGGUAGCGUACUUUUUGUAGAACGGUCCGGCGAGUUAUAGUCACUAGCGAGCUUAAGACAUUCAGUGUCGGAGGCGUAGGGAAACCGAGUCUGAAGAGGGCGUAUGAAGUUAGUGGCCAUAGACCCGAAACCAUGUGACCUAGCCAUGAGCAGGAUGAAGUGGAGGUAAAGCUCCAUGGAGGUCCGAACGCACGUUCGUUGCAAUGACCGGCGAUGACUUGUGGCUAGCGGUGAAAUUCCAAUCGAACUUGGAGAUAGCUGGUUCUCCCCGAAAUAGCUUUAGGGCUAGCGUUGAUUUAGAUUACCGGAGGUAAAGCACUGAAUGAGCUAGGGGGCGAUAAGCUUACUGAACUCUAUCAAACUCAGAAUGCCGGCUAAUUGAUGAUCAGCAGUCAGACAGUGUGAGAUAAGUUUCAUUGUCAAAAGGGAAACAGCCCAGACCUACAGCUAAGGUCCCAAAGUAUAGUUAAGUGGAAAAGGAUGUGGAAUUGCAUAGACAACCAGGAUGUUGGCUUAGAAGCAGCCACUCAUUAAAAGAGUGCGUAAUAGCUCACUGGUCGAGUGAUUCUGCGCCGAAAAUUUAACGGGGCUAAACUAUACACCGAAGCUUAGGAUACCGCAAGGUAUGGUAGGAGAGCGUUCUGUACGGAGUGAAGUCGUAGCGAAAGCGGCGGUGGACUGUACAGAAGUGAGAAUGCCGGAAUAAGUAGCGAGAAUUAAGUGAGAAUCUUAAUGGCCGAAAGUCUAAGGUUUUUGGAGGAAGGUUCGUCCGCUCCAAGUAAGUCGGGAGCUAAGGUCAGGCCGAAAGGCGUAGCCGAUGCACAAACGGUUGAUAUUCCGUUACCGUCUACAAUUUAAACAAGGGGACACAUACAAAGCGUUUAACCCGGGCGAUGGUUGACCCGGGCGCAAGGGACUGAAAUAAGAGUAGGGAAGUAAAUGUGGCGUAUGGCGAGAAAAGCUUUGUGAAUAGAAGUAGACGCCCGUACCGCAAACCGACACAGGUGGACAGGAAGAGAAUUCUAAGGCCAGCGGGAGAAGGGUAGUUAAGGAACUCGGCAAAUUGACUCCGUAACUUCGGAAUAAGGAGUGCUCGAAAGAGCCGCAGAGAAUAGGCCCAGGCGACUGUUUAGCAAAAACACAGGUCUCUGCCAAAUCGAAAGAUGAAGUAUAGGGGCUGACACCUGCCCGGUGCCGGAAGGUUAAGAGGAGGAGUGCAAGCUCCGAAUUGAAGCCCCGGUAAACGGCGGCCGUAACUAUAACGGUCCUAAGGUAGCGAAAUUCCUUGUCGGGUAAGUUCCGACCCGCACGAAAGGCGUAACGAUUUGGGCACUGUCUCAACGAGGGACCCGGUGAAAUUGAAAUACCUGUGAAGAUGCAGGUUACCCGCGACUGGACAGAAAGACCCCAUGGAGCUUUACUGUAACCUGACAUUGGGUUUUGAUACAUUACGUACAGGAUAGGUGGGAGGCUUGGAAAGUUGGACGCUAGUCUGACUGGAGCCGACGUUGGGAUACCACCCUUGAUGUAUUGAAAUUCUAACCGCGAGAGUAACGAAAUCCGGGACAGUGUCAGGCGGGCAGUUUGACUGGGGCGGUCGCCUCCGAAAGAGUAACGGAGGCGCCCAAAGGUUCCCUCAGCGCGGCCGGAAAUCGCGCGAAGAGUGUAAAGGCAGAAGGGAGCUUGACUGCGAGUCAAACACGACGAGCAGGUACGAAAGUAGGGCUUAGUGAUCCGGUGGUACCGAGUGGAAGGGCCAUCGCUCAACGGAUAAAAGCUACCCUGGGGAUAACAGGCUAAUCUCUCCCAAGAGUCCAUAUCGACGGGGAGGUUUGGCACCUCGAUGUCGGCUCAUCACAUCCUGGGGCUGAAGUCGGUCCCAAGGGUUGGGCUGUUCGCCCAUUAAAGUGGUACGUGAGCUGGGUUCAGAACGUCGUGAGACAGUUCGGUCCCUAUCCAUCGCGGGCGCAAGAGAUUUGAAGGGGGCUGCUCCUAGUACGAGAGGACCGGAGUGGACGAACCGCUGGUGUACCAAUUAUCCCGCCAGGGGUACAGUUGGGUAGCUACGUUCGGAAAGGAUAAACGCUGAAAGCAUCUAAGCGUGAAACCAGCCUUAAGAUGAGAUCUCUCAUAGAGCAAUCUAGU
rnacentral:rRNA from 1 species